rnacentral:rRNA from 1 species
GUCCUUUAGAUUAUAAUUUAAGGUCUGACCUGCCCACUGAUUAAUUGAAUGGCCGCAGUAAUUUGACUGUGCAAAGGUAGCAUAAUCAUUAGUUUUUUAAUUAAAAGCUUGUAUGAAUGGUUGGACGAAAUAAAUACUGUCUCUUUUUAAUAAGUAGAAUUUAAUUUUUAAGUUAAAAAGCUUAAAUAAUAAUAAAAGACGAGAAGACCCCAUAGAUCUUUAUAAUUUUAUUUAUAUUUUUAAUUAGGAAUAUUUUAUUGAUUAUAGAUUUAAUUAUUAUAUUGGGGUAAUAGGAAGAUUGAUUUAAUUCUUUUUAAAAUUUUUCAAUGAUGUUUGAUUAUUUGAUCCUCUUUUAGAGAUUAUAAGAUUAAGUUACCUUGGGGAUAACAGCGUAAUUUUUUUAGAGAGUUCUUAUCGAUAAAAAAGUUUGCGACCUCGAUGUUGGAUUAAAAAUUAUUCUGGGUGCAGAAGUUCAGAAUUUUGGUCUGUUCGACCAUUAAAUUUUU